rnacentral:lncRNA from 1 species
AUUCACAGCUUCCCCCUUCACCUUUUGUCCUCGGAUGGAAGAGAAAAUCUUCUGAGUAGUUCCUGUGAGGAAAGCAAUCAAAACAAAGACCCCCAUCGCUCAAGGGUUACAUUGGAAGGCAGUUGAGUCUGUAUCUGCAAAGCAACUGAGGAAUGCCAUGGAUUCAGCAGACUGUAACAAAAGGUCCAGAAAUGCAAGAUGUCCUGGCAAAGGGAGGAGGACCUCUGCGUGGGGCUUGGAAGAGUGAGGAGUCAGCAGGUUCUCAGUGUUCAGGUUUGGAGGAAGAUGAGCCGGGGCUGGUAAACAGACAGCAGCGCUGGCUGGUCUCACCAGGUGAAACGGCUCUAUCCCCUCCACACUCACUGCCCACAUCUAGAGCUGUGUCACCACCAUCUAUACCUUCGUUCAAUCAAAGGAGACAAAUAAAAAUAACUGCACUUACCUUUCGCAUUAUGAGUCAUUCAAACAAUAGACUAGGGGUGUGA